UAAGUCGUGCCACCUGAUCCGUCUUUCCUUCGCUUUAGCCAGUUUUAACGAGCCAGUCAUAUCGAAAUCAAACUUAACUCUUGAUACAAACUAACCGACCGUCCCUAGAGCAAGUGGCAAAGGACUUGGUGGUUGGUACCCAAGACCUAAAUUCGAAUCCUAGUUGAUUCACAUUUCCAGCAAAGUUUAUUUCUAAAUGAAAUAAAUGAAGUGGGUAGUAUGCUAUCUUUCUCUCAAAAAAACUCUUGAUACAAAUCAUAAGCAUAUGAAC
rnacentral:lncRNA from 1 species